rnacentral:rRNA from 1 species
GAUGAACGCUGGCGGCGUGCCUAAUACAUGCAAGUCGAGCGAACGGACGAGAAGCUUGCUUCUCUGAUGUUAGCGGCGGACGAGUGAGUAACACGUGGAUAACCUACCUAUAAGACUGGGAUAACUUCGGGAAACCGGAGCUAAUACCGGAUAAUAUUUUGAACCGCAUGGUUCAAAAGUGAAAGACGGUCUUGCUGUCACUUAUAGAUGGAUCCGCGCUGCAUUAGCUAGUUGGUAAGGUAACGGCUUACCAAGGCAACGAUGCAUAGCCGACCUGAGAGGGUGAUCGGCCACACUGGAACUGAGACACGGUCCAGACUCCUACGGGAGGCAGCAGUAGGGAAUCUUCCGCAAAGGGCGAAAGCCUGACGGAGCAACGCCGCGUGAGUGAUGAAGGUCUUCGGAUCGUAAAACUCUGUUAUUAGGGAAGAACAUAUGUGUAAGUAACUGUGCACAUCUUGACGGUACCUAAUCAGAAAGCCACGGCUAACUACGUG